rnacentral:rRNA from 1 species
UUGGGCACUAGGUGUGGGGGGACAUUUCACGUUUUCCGCGCCGUAGCUAACGCAUUAAGUGCCCCGCCUGGGGAGUACGGCCGCAAGGCUAAAACUCAAAGGAAUUGACGGGGGCCCGCACAAGCGGCGGAGCAUGCGGAUUAAUUUGAUGCAACGCGAAGAACCUUACCAAGGCUUGACAUGAACCGGAACGGCGCAGAGAUGUGUCGGCCACUUGUGGCCGGUUUACAGGUGGUGCAUGGUAGUGGUCAGCUCGUGUCGUGAGAUGUUGGGUUAAGUCCCGCAACGAGCGCAACCCUCCUUCCAUGUUGCCAGCGGGUUAUUCCGGGGACUCAUGGGAGACUGCCGGGGUCAACUCGGAGGAAGGUGGGGAGGACGUCAAAUCAUCAUCCCCC